GGCACGCUACGUUCCUGUUGUGUCGACCAACGCUUGGUGGUUUGGCGGCUAAGAGGUGUAGCACGAACCUCGUCCUCACUAGAACACCGCAAGACCCGACCCACAAGUGUGGUAACUCAAUGAAACGAGCAAUCCACUAGAGUUACCUUUCGGCUCUCCGCCAGGGAAGGUACAAGACCCCUCACAAUCACUGGGAGAUAGCCACGAACAAUCACCAAAAUGCUCCUCCGCUGCUCCAAGAUGUCUAGGUGGCGGCAACCACCAAGAGUAACAAGAAAACCGCAGCUAGAACGAUCCCCAAGUGCCACUAGAUGCAAUUACUCAAGCAAAUGUACUUGGAAUCACUCCCAAUCUCACAAAGAUGUGUGGGAGGUGUUUGCUUAGGCUCACAAGGAUGUCAAGUAUGCUAGAAUGCCAAAGGGGUAAGCCCUAAGCCGGCCAACACGUAUUUAUAAGCCCCUCAAAUAAAUAGAGCCGUUGGCUCUUUCACUGGGCAAAACUCGGGAUCACCGGACGCACUGCAGGUGAGGCACCGGACGCUGGAACAGAGCGUCCGGUGCUCCAAAAGCAGCCAUGUGUCAGCUCUCUGAAACUCACGCGUCAAACUCUAACGGUCACUUGCAGAGCACCGGACGCGGUUAAGUUGGCACCGAACACGUCUGGUGCACACCGGUCUUAAACUCAAGGAGGUUCGCAAAAUGCGUAGGGCACCGGACUCUCUUCACCGGAUGCACCCUUAGCGUCCGGUCCCUUACCUAGAGAGGUUUGCAAAACACGCGGACACCGAACGCACACCACCGGACGCACCUUGAGCGUCCGGUGCUCUCAGUCAGAGACUCUUGCAGAAGUCAGGCAGCACCAGACGCACAAACAAGAUCAAGCCCGCGUCCAGUGUCUGGCGUCCGGUGCCUAACCCUGGCUGAGCCAAGCACUACCUGCACACCGGACGCAUAGACACAGCGUCCGGUGCCUCCACGGCCAGCGUCCGGUGUUGUCACCCAUCUAGCCUCUUGGCCACGUUGCAACCAUGAGCAUAGGGGAACGCUUUGUGUCUUGUACUGCCCUCAUGUUCUGCUGAAAGGUCCUAAUACAGCUAGAGAGGGGUGAAUAGCCUAUUUAAAAAUCUACAAACUCACUAGAGCAAAAGGUUAGUAAAUAACAAAGCGAAGCUUUUUGCUCUAGCUCUAAUGGGGUAUUUGCAGGCCACCUAACCAACAAUUCUAGUUUGCUAUAAUCACUAGGCACACAAGAGUUAUGUCACUACAAGCUACACUAGUGAACUAUGCUACACAAGGCAAAGUAAGCAACUAAACUAAUUACACUACUUUGCGGUAAGUAAAGGAUAGGAUGAGAUAUUUAUACCGCCGUGUAGGGGAUGAACCAAUCACCAAUAUAAACAAUCAAGCACCGAGAGAAUGUCAAUGAAACACAAUUGAGACACCAAUUUUUCUCCCGAGGUUCACAUGCUUGUCGGCACGCUACGUUCCCGUUGUGUCGACCAACGCUUGGUGGUUCGGCGGCUAAGAGGUGUAGCACGAACCUCGUCCCCACUAGAACACCGCAAGAACCGAUCCACAAGUGAGGUAACUCAAUGACACGAGCAAUCCACUAAAGUUACCUUUCGGCUCUCCGCCGGGGAAGGUACAAGACCCCUCACAAGCACUGGGAGAUAGCCACGAACAAUCACCAAAAUGCUCCUCCGCUGCUCCAAGAUGUCUAGGUGGCGGCAACCACCAAGAGUAACAAGAAAACCGCAGCUAGAACGAUCCCCAAGUGCCA
rnacentral:lncRNA from 1 species